GAUGAACGCUAGCGGCAGGCCUAAUACAUGCAAGUCGAACGAUACCAGGGAGCUUGCUCUCUGGGAAAGUGGCGCACGGGUGCGUAACGCGUAUGCAACCUACCUUUAUCAGGGGGAUAG
rnacentral:rRNA from 1 species